GAGUCUGCAACUCGACUCCAUGAAGCUGGAUUCGCUAGUAAUCGCGCAUCAGCCAUGGCGCGGUGAAUACGUUCCCGGGCCUUGUACACACCGCCCGUCAAGCCAUGGAAGCCGGGGGUGCCUGAAGUGCGUGACCGCAAGGAGCGCCCUAAGGUAAAACCGGUGACUGGGGCUAAGUCGUAACAAGGUAGC
rnacentral:rRNA from 1 species